UCCAAAAGUAAUAACCCAUCAUCGUAAAACCCGUAUAAUUUCCCAGAAAAUAAUACUACGUACGUAUGUAAGAACCAUGCUCGAAAGUAGCAAAACCCACAGGUAUGCCAUGUCAAUCAUCUCCAUAAUGCAUAAGUAAGCCAAGUGAAAUGAAUCAAUAUAAAAUGACAUAUUAGCCGGAGUCACCUAACGUGACCUAUACGGCUGAGUUUAUAACCCAUCAGUGAGUCGGAACCACCUAAUGUGGUCUGUGAAGGAAAUUUUAUUAAAAACAUGUUCAUUUAAGCAACAUCUAUAGCAUGCAAUUAACAAUUAAA
rnacentral:lncRNA from 1 species